CCUACGGGAGGCAGCAGCAAGGAAUUUUCGGCAAUGGGGGAAACCCUGACCGAGCAACGCCGCGUGGGCGACGAAGUCCUUCGGGAUGUAAAGCCCUUUUCUGUGGGAAGAAGAAAGACGGUACCACAGGAAUAAGCAUCGGCUAACUACGUGCCAGCAGCCGCGGUAAUACGUAGGAUGCAAGCGUUGUCCGGAAUUACUGGGCGUAAAGGGCGAGUAGGCGGCACGACAAGUAGGGUGUGAAAGCCCCUGGCUUAACCAGGGAGGGUCAUUCUAAACUGUCGAGCUAGAGUGCAGUAGAGGCUAAUAGAAUUCCCGGUGUAGUGGUGAAAUGCGUAGAUAUCGGGAGGAAUACCAGUGGCGAAGGCGAUUAGCUGGACUGUAACUGACGCUGAGGCGCGAAGGCUAGGGUAGCAAACAGGAUUAGAUACCCUGGUAGUCCUAGCAGUAAACGAUGGAUACUAGGUGUGCGGGGAGAAUGACCCCCUGCGUGCCGUAGCAAACGCAAUAAGUAUCCCGCCUGGGGAGUACGGUCGCAAGAUUAAAACUCAAAGGAAUUGACGGA
rnacentral:rRNA from 1 species